CGGACGGGUGAGUAAUGUAUGGGGAUCUGCCUGAUGGCGGGGGGUAACUACUGGAAACGGUAGCUAAUACCGCAUAAUGUCUGCGGACCAAAGCGGGGGACCUCCGGGCCUCGCGCCAUCAGAUGAACCCAUAUGGGAUUAGCUAGUAGGUAAGGUAACGGCUUACCUAGGCGACGAUCCCUAGCUGGUCUGAGAGGAUGAUCAGCCACACUGGGACUGAGACACGGCCCAG
rnacentral:rRNA from 1 species